CACUUAUGUUUGCAAUCACGCAAUCGGGAAACACGGAUCGUCCGAUCUUGAUCUAACGUUCAGAAAGAAGUCAAGGCAAUUAGGUACAGAUGAAAUAUGUAUUAAAAAGUUAAGACUAAGAUGGAUAAGAUUUGACAGCUUAUGCUUAAGUUGCAGUUGUUAUUGACUCAACCAGAUUUGAUUAAAAGUGGUUGAGUUUCUUGGCAAUAAAUGAUUUUGAAAGCUCCCAUGUGAUUGGUUUUAACAGAUUAAUAUCCUAACAAGUGAACUCAAUUAAUUCCUUUCUACUAACCACCAUAAUAAAUUAUUGGUUACAAAAGCUAAAGAAAUAGUAUGUUCACACACUUCAUCUAAUCUUCAAUAUAACCAAUAAAAAAGUCAUUUUUUUUGUGUUUUAACUAAUUCUACUUUAUGUGUUUCUCCUUAUAUAUGACGCCAAAUGCUGCUAUAUGAAUCAGAUUCAAGUUCAAGUUCAUCUCUUCCCAAAAGAUAAUGGUGUCUGCACUAGAACAACAGAAGACAGCACAAAAUGAUAGUGUUCGCACGCGCCGCGAAGAAAAAGGAAUCCUAUAUGCUUUUUUCUAUUCACUCUGUUGCUGCUUUUGCUGCAACGAGAGUUGCCGAUGCUGCUGUGGACGCACCUGCUGUUGCUGUCCCUAGAUUGCUUGAUCUCCAAGAUACCUAUGCCAAGUUUAUGUUUCAUUGCGUUUUUGCGUGUAUGAAGUGAUGAUUUUCGGAGCCAUUACAGAUUCAUCUUUGAAAACAUCGAUGAAUUUAUCGUGAUUUUUCGUCUUAGUGUAUCAAUAACAAGAAAUCAAAGUUUCUACAGCUA